UACAAAAUCAGUUAAUUAUCGUAUAUGUAAACGUGAUACAAAGUUUCCAAAUUUAUAAUAAUGCUUUUGGGGCUCUAAUUGUAUGAAAAUUAAGUAAUAAGUGGGAGAAAAUAUAGGAAAAUAUCAUACACUUUCAAAAUUGAUUGCUGCCGCACAUACAUGUGGAUACUUCUGUGAGAUGUUUGGAACAAGAAUAAGACCAUCAGAAAAUCAAGAAUAAAAUCAUUUGACUUGCAAUUAUUGACUUUUAUUCAAUUGUAAGACGAGUUUAAUACGGAAGAAUACAAUUAUUAUUAAAUUGUACUUUGGGUUGAAUAGUGUUCUUGCAAGAUUUUUUCGAAAUGUUGCGUUCAAAAUUGAUUGGAAUGGUAGAACAAAUUAAAAGUAGAGAUAUGCUGUUAAAAAGAUUUGCUGUUCCUCAUAUUUGUUGUGCUUCAAAACAUGAUACGAGUUCAGGAAAAGCUAAUAAAAAUACGGAAGUGGACGAGUUUGAUGAGCCUAUAAAAUAUUCAACUUCACCAGCUUCAUCUAUGAAAGCUGGAAACU